GCGGUAGCGCACGGGGCCACCCAACCGGCCGCGGGCCCAGGAUCCAGGCGUCUGGACCGAGGUUGAGCUGUCGGGAGGCCACGCACAUGGAGGUUCCCAGGCUAAAAGUUGAAUCGGAGCUGUAGCCGCCAGCCACAGCCACAGCCACAGCCACACCAGAUCCAAGCCAAGUCUGCAACCUACACCACAGCUCACGGCAACGCUGCAUCCUUAACCCACUGAGUGAGGCCAGGGAUCGAACCUGAGUUCUCAUGGAUGCUUGUCAGAUUCGUUUCCGCUGAGCCAUGAUGGGAACUCCAUGUGCCAUCAUAGGCCUUUUCGUUUUUGUUUUUUCAUGGCAUGCAGAGACUGGAUGGAGAAUCUCAGUUUUCAGACCAGGGAUGGAAACUGGGCCACAGUGGUGAAAGCUUUGAAUCCUAACCACUAGACCACCAGGGAACUCCCCUAUCAUAGGCCCUUGUCAGCCCUGAGUGUAGGAGCCUUCAGUCUGUCACACGCUCAGAGAUGGGAGAUCCGUGGACAGCUUCACAGAGCUGGGGAGAUUACAGACACUUGGUUUGGAGAGGGAAUCAGCUUAGCAUGAUGAUUCUGUCUUUUUUUUCUUGGCAGUUCUAGAUUGUUUCUGCUCCAGAUACAAUAGCCUUGGUUCAGAAAAUCUAUUCAUUCAUUCAGCAAAGUGUUUCCCAGCACAUAGUGCAGAACCUGGCAGGAAGCAAUGUUCAGUAAUGUUUUUGCUGGGAGUCCUCUGGUGGCACAGCAGGUUAGGGAUCCGGCGUUGUCACUGCUGGGGCUCAGUCACUGCUGUGGCGUGGGUUUGAUCCCUGGUCCAGGAACUUCCACAUGCUGCUGGGCACAGCCAAAAAGAAAAAAAGUUAUAAAAACUAAGUUUUUGCUAAAGAAUCGAAACAAUGUACAAACAGCCCUGAGAGUCAGCUCUCUCAGGUGGAGAAAAACCUGAUGGCAGUGUUUGCCAGUUUCUAUGGUGUAAUCACCAUGGCUGAUUUCAAGCUAUCCAUGUGAUGUCUGUGAGUGCAGAAUUGGGAAGAGAUGCACAGAAGCAGCUCUUGGGAGCUGGUGGGUACCACAUCCAGCGUGAUGCUCCAUCACCCUGAGCUGGGCUCCUGUCCCUGUCUCUCAAGGCCCCUACCCACCUGCACCAUUUCCUUUCCUUUUUCUCAGCAUCUUCCAGCUACUCUACGAGUGCCCACAAUCAACCCCUAUGUUUCCCCUGAUUCUUAUGCCUGGACAGCCACCUGUGCAUCUCCAGUGAUGGGAGGACUGCAUGUGUCUGGAAAUCUCCAUGGUACUGUCCAUGGGGAAAUCCUGGACAUGUCUGGGAGUCUAUCCAUGGCUGGGCUGGGUUUUGAGAACUCUGUGUGAGCAAGGGUGUGUAUGUGUGUGUGUAUGGGUGUGUCAAUGCCCAGUUCUGUGUCUGCCUGUGUUCUGUUAGCAAAACUUCCUGAUCUGACCUUUGGCUACAGAGAGGGAGUGGGCUCUGGGCCACCCCCACCCUUGUUUAGGCUCACAGCUCAGGACUGUAGCCUUGGUGAUCUGAACACUGGGCGAGGACACAUUGAGAAGCACUUCUCAAAACUCAGGGUGCUCCCGGAGGUCCCAUCGUGGCUCAGUGGUUAUCGAACCCGACUAAUAUCCAUGAGGACGAGGGUUCGAUCCCUGGCUUCACUCAGUUUGUUAAGGCUCCGGCAUUGCCAUGAGCUGUGGUGUGGGUCGUGGAGGCGGCUCAGAUCCCCCGUUGCUGUGGCUGUGGUAUAGGCCUGCAGCUACAGCUCUGAUUCAACCCCUAUGCCAUGGGUGUGGCCCUGAAAAGACAAAAGACAAACAAAACAAAACAAAACAAAACAAAACAAAAAACAAACCUCAGGGUGUUCCCAGCCACCUGAGAUCUUGUUAAAAAGCAAGUGCUGGAGUUCCCGCUGUGGCACAAGGGUUAAUGAUCCUGCUUGUCUCUGUGGAGGUGCCAGUUCAGUCCCUGAUCCCUGGCCCAAAGUGGGUUAAGGAUCUGGGGUUGCUGCAGCUCUGGUGUAGAUCAUAGGUCACAGCUCUAGCUAGGAUUUGAUCUCUGGCCUGGGAACUUCCAUUUGGAAGAAAAGAAAAGGAAAAAAAACUGUACCCAGCACAUUGUCCCUUUUCCCCGCCAGCCUGUGCUCCUGGCAUUUUGCUCCUCACCCUCUCUCUCCUUACUUGAACCAGACAAUGUCACCCUUGACACCUUCUUCCUAACCUCCCAGGUCCAUUCCUGCCAUCCUCCAUCAGCCUUGUUGACUUUAACCUCUGCCUUAAAUGUCUGCACUUCUGUCUCAAGACACACAGCCCCCACCAUUAUCUGCUGCCUGGAGCAACAGAUGGGCUCCUGCCUUCGUGCUGUCCUGCUGCAAUCCAGGCUUCACAUACAGCCGGAGGGGCUUUUUAAAACACAGAUGUAGUCAUGCCCCGGCCUCCACUCUGCAGGGAAUGUGUCCGUGUGUGUUUGAAGCCACUUCAAACGCUUCAAGGUUUGAGAUUUUCCCCUCCAUGUAAAACCAGAUCUAAAAUUGGGUCCAGGCAUUCCCGUCAUGGCUCAGCGGAAAUGAAUCUAACUAGCAUCUGUCAGGACUCAAGUUCAAUCCCUGGCCCCGCUCAGUGGGUUAAGGAUCCAGCAUUGCCUGUGAGCUGUGGUGUCGGUCACAGACUUGGCUUAGAUCUGCUGUGGCUGUGGCGUAGGCCAGCGGCUGCAGCUCCAAUUUGACCCCAGCCUGGGAACCUCCAUAUGCCAU
ensembl:lncRNA